GUACGCUCACACUCUCUGAUCCUUUGGAUUUGGGGAGCGGUGGACUUGGGUGCUUGCUGCUUUCCUUGUGGCUCACCUCAAAUGCGUCAGUGCAUCUCUUGAUUGUACAUAGUACGGCGUGAUAAGUGUCUUCGCCGGCACCUCAUAAGAGGGUGGCCGAUCGGGAGCUCUGUGCUUUCCAACCGUCCGUCUUCGGACACUCCUGACA
rnacentral:misc_RNA from 1 species